GGGUCAGUAGGUUGGUCGUGCCACCGGUACGUACUGGUCUCACUGAUUCCUCCUUCCUGAAGAACCGUAAUGCCAUUAAUUUGGUGUUGCGGGGAAACAGGACUGUUACCUUGAAAAAAUUAGAGUGAUUAAAGCAAGCUAACGCUUGAAUACAUUAGCAUGGAAUAAUGAAAUAGGACGAUCGAUCCUAUUUUGUUUGUUUCUAUGAUUGACGUA
rnacentral:rRNA from 1 species